rnacentral:rRNA from 1 species
UGGGGAAUAUUGCACAAUGGAGGGAACUCUGAUGCAGCGACGCCGCGUGAACGAAGAAGGCUUUCGAGUCGUAAAGUUCUUUUAUAUGGGAAGAUAAUGACGGUACCAUAAGAAAAAGCCCCGGCUAACUACGUGCCAGCAGCCGCGGUAAUACGUAGGGGGCUAGCGUUGUCCGGAAUCACUGGGCGUAAAGGGUUCGCAGGCGGAAAUGCAAGUCAGGUGUAAAAGGCAGUAGCUUAACUACUGUAAGCAUUUGAAACUGCAUAUCUGGAGAAGGGUAGAGGUAGUGGAAUUUUUAGUGUAGCGGUGAAAUGCGUAGAUAUUAAAAAGAAUACCGGUGGCGAAGGCGGCUUACUGGGCUCAUUCUGACGCUGAGGAACGAAAGCGUGGGUAGCAAACAGG